CUAAAAUUCACUUUUCCCGUCUCCAUCCGACUGAGCGGCGGCUGUGGGCAACGAAACCCUAGCGAGUAAGGCGGCGGCGCAGUGCAGCGCCGCCUCCUCCCAUCCAGCUCGUGUCCCUCCCUCCCAAUCUCCUCCCUUGUCUCCCUCCCUCCCAAUCUCCUCCCUCCCAGUCUCUUUCCCGUCCAUGGAUGGUGGUGGCAGCGCCAUGGAGCACGGCUGCACAACUUCGAUGCCGGGGCAGGUGGGCUCGGGCGUUGAACGGCUCCACGGGAGCAGCAGCAUGCGGCGCAUCCAGUCGGGCUUGGGCAGUGCCCCGGCGCCGGACGCACGCGCUGGUUUCCGGCAAGCUGGACAUGGUGAUGGAAGUGCACCCUAUGUUAGUAGGGUGAGCAUCGAUGAAGCCAGAAGGAGGGAAAAUGUCAACCCCAACAAUGAAGAUAACAUUAUGAUGGGGAAUGGUUCAGCUCUAAGAGAGACAGCUUGGAAAGGGCUUGUAAGCAAUGACAUCUAUUAUAUUUGGAACCAUGGCCCGAAGUUUGGUGGGGGAUUUGAUUGUCGGUACUGCCCCCUAAUCACUAGAGGAGGAGGUGCAACCCGCUUUAGGGAGCACCUUGGAGGUAUACCAGGUGAUGUGAAACAGAGUAUCACAGCAUACUUUGACAAGGAAUUGUCGACCAACAAAGUAUCAAUGCAGCCAAAGAUCAGCACUGCUUUGAAUGUUGAGUCAAAAGAUGUACUUGGCCAAGCUUGGGAAAAGUUUUUUCAUGCUAAUGACAUUGCUGGUCUGAAAGCAAAUUGUCCCUAUUUUCGUUCGGCUGUCAAGAUAACUCAAAACCUUGGCCCAGCUCCUGUUCCAACUGCCAAGGAGAUUGAUGGGAUAUAUUUGGACAAGAAUUAUGAAGAAGCUGAGCAGUGGCUGAAGAUGUUCAAGCAAGACUGGAGGAACUAUGGUGUAACUGUGAUGUGUGACUCAUGGACAGGGCCUACUAGUAUGAGUCUCAUCAAUUUCAUGGUGUAUUGCAAUGCACGGAUGUUCUUUCAUAAAUCCAUUGAUGCUUCUGGUCAAACUCAGACUGCAGAUACGUGCUGAAGAAGAACAAGACCCGGUGAGAGAGAAUGAUAAGCAGAAGGAAGUUGAUGCAUGUGCAAUGAUGAUGCCAUGUUUGAUGCAACAAAUCCUAUGAUGGAAUGGUUGAAUGAGGAUGAGGAGCAUGCAAUCUUGGAUGGAGUUGAUGCUGCUAGCGCCGUGUUUGAGAAAAUAUGUUUGCUUAACUCAAGUAGGAAAGUUUCUCAUCUUGCAAGGAAGGACAAUGGCAGGAAAAGAAAGAGGGUAGAGGAAGAAGUGGAUGACUACCAUGAUAGUGAGGAUGAUGAAGAAGAAAAUGAGGAGCUGGACCUGGAAAUUGAUGAUGAUGAUGAUAGCCAUGAUGAUGGUGCAAGUCAAUCUGAUAGAGGAUUCGCCAAUGCAAAUUGAAAAGGAUUUAACAAGCCAAGUUGGAAACAAUGUUGAGGUAACAAGUGAUGGUAGUUUGGUGAACCGUAGAUCUGAACGGGUUAGGCAAGCCAAGAAGGUCAAGGAGGUCACCAGCCUUUACAAUUGACAAGUUAAGCGGCAUGGGAGCAAAAGAGCUUUUGGUUUGAUGAAGACUAACGGGUGGAUGAACAGGAAGUCCGAAGUGAAGGUCUCUGUUCGAUUCAAUACUUUUGGUGCAAGACUGAAGAGUUGAAGAACAGGAAGUCUGAAUUGAACUUUUUGUUUGUAUUUUGGGGUCGACAUAAUUGAACUUUGAAUGUCGUGUUAAAUUCAUUGUGGACUGUAAUUCUGAACCUUAUGGGUGUUCGUUUCGACUCUUGGUAGAAUUAUUAAGUCGCAUGUUACUCUUAGUAUCUGAACUAUCAAGUCACAUGUUAAUCUGGACUAUCAUGUUGCUUUUCUAGUGGUUGCUGCUCUCCGAAUUGAUCCACUAUGCUAUUAUCUGAAUGGUUGCAACUGGAGUGUUGAUGUUUAGUCUGAUACGUAGUGAUUUGAUGAAUAGAUUCAGCUGUUUGAUUUUUACAUGCAUAUUUUGCUAAAAGUUCUGAAUACUCAUCUGUUGUUCUGUUGUAUUUCAAAAUUUUAGGCAAAUUUCGCCCAUUUUUCGUUCAUUUUUCGUUCAGUUUUCGUCCCAAAAUUCA
rnacentral:rRNA from 1 species